rnacentral:lncRNA from 1 species
GGAGCUAGGCAAACCAACUUAAAUAUUCAUUUUUCCAACUUUUUAUUCAACAAGAUAAUAAUGAUAACAGUAAAUUUAGGCGGAAGUCUCAAAUUGGUAAUAACUGAAAGAAAUACGAAAAAGUUAACAUCAUCCUCUACCCAAGAUUUAUUGUCACAAUGCUCUAUGAAAUACUACAAAUAAGAGCCUAAAAGAAAAUACAUAAGAAGUCUGUUUAGAUACAAUGAAACCAAACAGAAAUGAGAUAGAUGAGACUUAGGGUCCGCGCACGCCAGCGAACUACCUAGGAGCCUCUGGACUGAAGGCACGCUCCCGAUCUACUGCUGAUGCGGUACGUAAGCUGCUCCUAAGUCUGUGCACAAAAAAGGAACAUAAGCAUAGCAUCAGCACAACCGACCCCAUGUGCUGGUAAGUGCCUGGCCUAACCCCGGCGAGGUAGUGACGAGGCUAGACCGGACCUACCAUGAUCAACAUGUACAGAUAUAUGUGCAAUAACGGAAAGACAACAAAAUUAAACAGAUAAUUGUCUCACCCCUUUUUUUAACCAAACUCUACACCCUUUUAAAAUAAUAAAAAAAAUUUAGUUAAAGCUUGAAAAAGGGUUUUUCAAUUUUGAAAGUGACAAAAAUUUGUGUUCAAAAGGAUUAACUCACCUGUCAUUUGAUUUCGGUGUGUCAGGUCACCGUUUUUUUUCUAAAAAUAUUUUUUUUCCCUUUCAAACACUUGAGACUCUAAAAAUAAGUCUACACCAGAGAUUUGGGUAAGGGGGUUCAUUUGACUCGGGGAGAAGGUGUUAGGCAUUCCCCAAGUCCCGCAGCUAGUACGGUUGCGUACUCGAUCUAGUUGGCUUUUAAAAUAUUCAAUUGAGGUAAAAAUACAGAAAAGGCAAAAUAAACACAUACGAAGCUCGAAGUCGUCCCCACCUAGUAAAAGAAAAUGAAAAAGGAAAAGAAAACAAAAACUCCUAAGCUAACCUACACUACGUCUUCACCAUCAUGCUCGUCAAGACAUCCAAAAUAUUUACAUAGUUCUUUGGGGCAUUCCCCGGAAUAAAAUAUAUACAAUUCCUUUGGGGCAUUUGCCGGAUAAAUUAAACUAAGGGAACAACCUCUCGCCUGGAAACUAACAAAAAAUUUAAAGUUUGCCUACCUAAAUGUUGUCGGCCUAACAUGCUUCUAACGAUUAAAUUACUAAAAUAAAUAAAGGAAAGCUAGAUAAAAGAAUCCAUGUCAUGCUCAUCUUUUAAUUAGUCAUUCUAUUUAUUUAGCAUGCAGAUGAAGUUAAUACUAAUGAGAUCGAUCUUUCACCCGCUCCAUGUCCCAACAAUCAUUCAAGGAUGUCCAAACAAACGAACAAAAAUCUACACCAAUAAACAUUUUGAUCACAGAAAACUAAGAAAAAUAGCCUUCAAGAGAUUUGCUAAAAAUUUUAAAUACUCAUGUUUUAUAACAAAAGUAAGCCAAACAGAGAACAUAUCGUUCACCUUUUAAUAUGGCCUUCCAUGGUUUCAAAUAAACAUAUAAGAAAACACAUUCGUAAGCAUAACACAGAAUAUAUCGUUCACCUUUUAAUAUGGUCUUCCACGGUUUCAAAUAAACAUAUAAGCAAACACAUUCAAAACCAUACAUAAUAACUAAACAGAUCACAAAUCAAAUCACCAAACCAAAAAUUAAAGUUACGCAAGAAUAAUAACAAAUUAAAGAUUGAAGAACUAGACCUUUAUAGCAAUUUAUCGUUUCACUUCUUUGAACUCCAAAACCUAACGGAUCAUGAACAAUAACUCGAAUCGGCACCAGAAAGCUCGAAACCGACACGACCUCAAUCAAACUCCAUCGGCUUCCAUGAUUUCGAAAUCGAGAAUCAGAAGAAACUAAACUAGAAAUGUACGCUGAUUCGCAGCUCUUUGUCCAAAAGGACUGGCUCAGUUAGAAACCAGCAGAUCCGGGAAUGAACAAGGACUGGCGAGCGGAACCUUAGUUGGAAUCGACGAACUCGAAUGGAAGAUGAUGAACUAACCAAUUUCCGGAAGCAUCUGGUGACAGAGGUGAGACAGAAAAGACGAGAGAGCGAGAAAGAUUUGGAGGGGAGGUUGUCUCCCUAUUUUCGUCCUCUUCUUAUUUGUUUUGACACUAGGUCCGCUGGAGUGUGGCUGUUGGUUCGUUUUCCGACGAGCUCACCAGGCAGCGUUGAGGUGGUCACUGGUCAGGGGCGUGGUGGUGAAGGGAUGGAUUUCUGGCUGAUUUGGUGACUGUUGUUGUUGGUUUUUAUCGAGUUCUGGUGGUGUGAGGGUGAUUGCUGGCAUUUUGGAGAGGAGAGUGGGGUGUUCUCCAUUGUUGUGUAAGGCUUAGAUUUUAGUAAUUUUUAAAUAUACAUCCUAUAUAACAAACCUUAUAACCACUCAUAUUUAAAGUUAGUGUUUAUUACAUUUAAU